rfam:Dipodomys ordii contig_45140, whole genome shotgun sequence.
GGUGGCUCAGUGGUAGAGCGCUUGCCUUGCAGCAUGAGGCCCUGGGUUCAAUUCCUCAGCACCA